CUAAUGGAUAGAAUGGUUGGGAAGCCUAAUGGAUAGAAUGGUUGGGAAGCCUAAUGGAUAGAAUGGUUGGGAAGCCUAAUGGAUAGAAUGGUUGGGAAGCCUAAUGGAUAAGGUGGUUGGGAAGCCUAAUGGAUAGAAUGGUUGGGAAGCCUAAUGGAUAGGGUGGUUGGGAAGCCUAAUGGAUAGAAUGGUUGGGAAGCCUAAUGAAUGGGAUGGUAAAAUGGACAG